AUUCCAGCUCCAAUAGCGUAUAUUAAAGUUGUUGCAGUUAAAAAGCUCGUAGUCGGAUUUUGGCAUCACGCCGAACUGUCAGCCGAUUGGUUUGUACGGUUUGGCGGGUGCUCUCCUUCCGGAAGCUCGUUCCCUUCUUAGUUGACGGGUUCGAUGGUUCCGGGUCUUUUACUUUGAAAAAAUUAGAGUGUUCAAAGCAGGCCUAUGCUCUGAAUAGGUUAGCAUGGAAUAAUAGAAUAGGACUUUGGUUCUAUUUUGUUGGUUUCUAGGACCGAAGUAAUGAUUAAUAGGGACAGUUGGGGGCAUUCAUAUUCCAAUGUCAGAGGUGAAAUUCUUGGAUUAUCGGAAGAUGAACUUCUGCGAAAGCAUCUGCCAAGGAUGUUUUCAUCA
rnacentral:rRNA from 1 species